GCAUUGCACUUGGAGCGGGAAAUCCCCUGUUCUAGGGCGGGCAAACGGCAAAGGAGCACGACCCGGCCGGUCUAGCUAGAUCUGCCGCCCGCAUGGGCACGAAUUAUUGGCGGACGCCAAACAGUGCUUGUAUGACUCGUGUCCAGCCUAUAUGUGCCCAUAUCCCGGCAGAAGCAUCUAGACUGGUGCGACAGGGGUUCGACGGUGGCCAUCUCGUUCCGUGCAGAUCAGCAGCACGUCGAUCUGCACGUGCCAAGCACACGAUCGAGUUUAAGGCCCCAUCUGUUGUGUUUGUGGUGUUGGUGUCUCUCCUGUGUUCUGUGGCCUACGCCCCCGUUGACGCACCUCGCGGACUUCAAUUCAGUUGGCUGGUUCGCGGGCAGAGCCAGAGCAGCAAAGAGCUGGAGUAUAGAUUGGGUGUCUUCUCCAGGACAGAAAAGAAAAUGGUCUUCUAGAUUGGACGAACGAGCCACGUGCGCCUGCUGUGCGGGAGUCGUCGGGGCAGUGGUGCUACUGCUCCUUUCGUGCAUGGGCGUUUGCUUAUCUUCGAUUCGGCUUGACUUGAUAAUUAAGAUGGUUCAUUUUGAAGACAAUCAAGAAGUGAACCUUGCUAUACAAACAGCAAGAUGGUUCCACGUACCGCGGCCGUCAGAUGGACGAAUUGAAGCUCCUUAAUUUACCCCCGGCCCGUCGUCCUCCGGUCGCCACUUGAACCACUGGCCCUCACUCACGGCUUCUUUCGCGUCCGUUCCCACGUACUAAACACACGCGUUUACUCCGAAUUGAAGAAGCUCUGGCUGACUGGCUCAUUUACUCCGAUCGCUG